CACCUUUACUUAACAGUAAUAUUUAAUAUUUUGUUUCCAGCACUUCCCUCAACAAACUUCUGGGAACUACUGUGGCAUCCUUAUACUCAUUUAUGCCCUCUGUAUCUGCACCAAUACCCCAUUUAUCUUCACAGAGAAUGAUGUGCCAUUAAUCCGCCAGUGGUGGUGCAUCCUACUGAUGGAAAGAUUUCAGAUUGAAGGACAUGGCCAGAGGUUUGCUUUCUGGACUGACAAGGCUAGCAGGCUAUUGCAAGGGACCCUUCAGCCACUUUUUAGGGUAUCUAGGUCAAUCACUUCAGACAUUCCACCUCAUGUGCAAACCAUGGUCAACCGCACAGCCCAAGAAAAGAAGCUGGUAGACUUUGCUGUACAAGACCAUGGAGUCCGGCAACAUUUGUUGGGUGUACUCUGUGGAAAAGAGCCUUCGAAGUGGCUCAGCAGAAUCCAGAAGGGAUCAUCUCUACGGGUGCCAGUGUACCUGGACUCGGAGGAAGAACAGGACUCCCUAUUUUUCUAUCUUCAGGAUGUCCUGAAAUCUGCACCAGUAGAAUUCCACAUUGAGGAUCAAGUGCAGUUCAUUUUGGAUGUUUUGUUCCCAGAGGUAAGGUUACUAGGUAUGCAGUAAAUAUCUAUUAACAAUGUUAAAUAGCCUGUUGUGACUUAAGUUACAUAAAAUUUUUAAUCAAAUGUAUCUUUUUUUAAAAUCCAAUAGAGUAGUACUGUGAGACCAU